UACGUAGGAGGCGAGCGUUGUCCGGAUUCAUUGGGCGUAAAGAGCACGCAGGCGGUUUGGCAAGUCGGAUGUGAAAACCCGAAGCUCAACUUCGGGCCUGCAUCCGAAACUGCCCGACUAGAGGUAGGUAGGGGAGAUCGGAAUUCCUGGUGUAGCGGUGAAAUGCGCAGGAUAUCAGGAGGAACACCGGUGGCGAAGGCGG
rnacentral:rRNA from 1 species